CGGCACGGGUGAGUAACGCGUAGGAAUAUGCCUUGAAGAGUGGGACAACUUGGGGAAACUCAAGCUAAUACCGCAUAAUCUCUUAGGAGGAAAGCUGGGGACCUUCGGGCCUGGCGCUUUAAGAUUAGCCUGCGUCCGAUUAGCUAGUUGGUAGGGUAAGGGCCUACCAAGGCGACGAUCGGUAGCUGGUCUGAGAGGAUGGCCAGCCACACUGGGACUGAGACACGGCCCAG
rnacentral:rRNA from 1 species